rnacentral:rRNA from 1 species
GGAAUGCAGCUCUAAGUGGGUGGUAAAUUCCAUCUAAAGGUAAAUACAGGCGAGAGACCGAUAGCGAACAAGUACAGUGAUGGAAAGAUGAAAAGAACUUUGAAAAGAGAGUGAAAAAGUACGUGAAAUUGUUGAAAGGGAAGGGCAUUUGAUCAGACAUGGUGUUUUGCGCCCCCUGCUCCUUGUGGGCGGGGGACCCUCGCAGCUCACUGGGCCAGCAUCAGUUUUGGCGGCUGGAUAAAACCGGAGGAAUGUGGCUUCUCUCGGGAAGUGUUAUAGCCUGCGGGAAUGCGGCCAGCCGGGACUGAGGAACGC